AUGAACGUUGGCGGUGCGCCUAAUACAUGCAAGUCGAACGGAGACAGUAGCAAUAUUGUUUUAGUGGCGAACGGGUGAGUAACGCGUUGGUGAUCUGCCUCGAAGUGUGGAAUAACGUUCCGAAAGGAGCACUAAUACCGCAUGGUCUUCCGGUUUUUAGAAAACUGGAAGUAAAGGAGUAAUCCGCUUUGGGAGGGGCCUGCGUCCCAUCAGCUAGUUGGUAGGGUAAUGGCCUACCAAGGCAAUGACGGGUAGGGGACCUGAGAGGGUGGCCCCCCACACUGGCACUGAAAUACGGGCCAGACACCUACGGGUGGCAGCAGUAGGGAAUAUUGGACAAUGGGCGAAAGCCUGAUCCAGCAACGCCGCGUGCACGAUGACGGCCUUCGGGUUGUAAAGUGCUUUUAAGGGAGAUGAGAAAGGACAGUAUCCCUUGAAUAAGCCUCGGCGAACUACGU
rnacentral:rRNA from 1 species